rnacentral:rRNA from 1 species
CCGGCACGGGUGAGUAACACGUAUGCAAUCCACCUGUAACAGGGGGAUAACCCGGAGAAAUCCGGACUAAUACCCCAUAAUAUGGGCGCUCCGCAUGGAGAGCCCAUUAAAGAGAGCAAUUUUGGUUACAGACGAGCAUGCGCUCCAUUAGCCAGUUGGCGGGGUAACGGCCCACCGAAGCGACGAUGGAUAGGGGUUCUGAGAGGAAGGUCCCCCACAUUGGAACUGAGACACGGUCCAA